UACAGAGGGCGCGAGCGUUGUCCGGAAUCACUGGGCGUAAAGGGCGCGUAGGUGGCCACUAUAAGGCCGCGGUGAAAGUCUGGAGCUCAACUCCAGAUCUGCCGCGGCGAUUGUAGGGCUUGGGCACCGUAGAGGCAGAUGGAAUUCCGGGUGUAGCGGUGGAAUGCGUAGAGAUCCGAAAGAACACCGGU
rnacentral:rRNA from 1 species